rnacentral:rRNA from 1 species
UACGAAGGGGGCUAGCGUUGUUCGGAAUUACUGGGCGUAAAGGGCGCGUAGGCGGUGUGUCAAGUCAGGCGUGAAAGCCCCGGGCUCAACCUGGGAACCGCGCUUGAGACUGGCACGCUAGAGUUCGGGAGAGGAUGGUGGAAUUCCUAGUGUAGAGGUGAAAUUCGUAGAUAUUGGGAAGAACACCAGUGGCGAAGGCGGCGACCUGGGCCAAUACUGACGCUGAGGUGCGAAAGCGUGGGGAGCAAACAGG